UACGGGGGGAGCAAGCGUUGUUCGGAUUUACUGGGCGUAAAGGGCGCGUAGGCGGUCAGCACAAGUCAGUUGUGAAAUCUCCGAGCUUAACUCGGAAAGGUCAACUGAAACUGUGCGACUAGAGUGCGGAAGGGGCAACUGGAAUUCUUGGUGUAGCGGUGAAAUGCGUAGAUAUUAGGAGGAACACCGGUGGCGAAGGCGGGUCUCUGGGCAGUAACUGACGCUGAGGAGCGAAAGCGUGGGGAGCGAACAGG
rnacentral:rRNA from 1 species